rnacentral:rRNA from 1 species
UAGGGAAUCUUCCGCAAUGGACGCAAGUCUGACGGAGCAACGCCGCGUGAGUGAAGAAGGAUUUCGGUUCGUAAAACUCUGUUGUUAGAGAAGAACAGCGCAUAGAGUAACUGUUAUGCGUGUGACGGUAUCUAACCAGAAAGCCACGGCUAACUACGUGCCAGCAGCCGCGGUAAUACGUAGGUGGCAAGCGUUGUCCGGAUUUAUUGGGCGUAAAGCGCGCGUAGGCGGUUUUUUAAGUCUGAUGUGAAAGCCCACGGCUCAACCGUGGAGGGUCAUUGGAAACUGGAAAACUGGAGUGCAGAAGAGGAAAGUGGAAUUCCAUGUGUAGCGGUGAAAUGCGCAGAGAUAUGGAGGAACACCAGUGGCGAAGGCGACUUUCUGGUCUGUAACUGACGCUGAUGUGCGAAAGCGUGGGGAUCAAACAGG